UGAGGAAUAUUGGUCAAUGGGCGAGAGCCUGAACCAGCCAAGUAGCGUGCAGGAUGACGGCCCUAUGGGUUGUAAACUGUUUUUAUAUGGGAAUAAAGUGAGGGACGUGUCCCUUAUUGCAUGUACCAUACGAAUAAGGACCGGCUAAUUCCGUGCCAGCAGCCGCGGUAAUACGGAAGGUCCAGGCGUUAUCCGGAUUUAUUGGGUUUAAAGGGAGCGUAGGCUGUUUGUUAAGCGUGUUGUGAAAUGUAAGAGCUCAACUUUUAGAUUGCAGCGCGAACUGGCAGACUUGAGUGCGCACAACGUAGGCGGAAUUCAUGGUGUAGCGGUGAAAUGCUUAGAUAUCAUGACGAACUCCGAUUGCGAAGGCAGCUUACGGGAGCGCAACUGACGCUAAAGCUCGAAGGUGCGGGUAUCGAACAGG
rnacentral:rRNA from 1 species